rnacentral:rRNA from 1 species
GAUGAACGCUGGCGGCGUGCUUAACACAUGCAAGUCGAACGGAAAGGCUCCUGCUUGCAGGGGUACUCGAGUGGCGAACGGGUGAGUAACACGUGGGUGAUCUGCCCUGCACUUCGGGAUAAGCCUGGGAAACUGGGUCUAAUACCGGAUAGGACGAUGGUUUGGAUGCCAUUGUGGAAAGUUUUUCGGUGUGGGAUGAGCUCGCGGCCUAUCAGCUUGUUGGUGGGGUAAUGGCCUACCAAGGCGUCGACGGGUAGCCGGCCUGAGAGGGUGUACGGCCACAUUUGGACUGGGGUUCGGGCCAGACUCCUUCGGGGGGGAAGCGUUGGGGAUAUUUCACAAUUGGCGGCAGGCCUGUUGCGCGGCGGCGGGUGGGGGAUGACGGCCUUCGGGUUGUAAACUCCUUUCGCUAGGGACGAAGCGCAAGUGACGGUACCUGGAGAAGAAGCACCGGCUAACUACGUG